GCCUUAAAAAAUAAACAGAAAGAAACCUGAUCGCUUCUAGCUAAACAUUCUGAUUUACUUACACCUUUGGGUUGUUAAAAGUAGUUUUAGAUAUGAUCUGGUUCAAACUUUACACAGCAUUCCUGCUGCGCCAUCUCUUCAGCACAGAGAACAACAGACAAAGGGAAAGUUUCUUUCCCAAUUUUAAAAGUUCUGCCCAAUCCUUUUCUUUUACCUGUGGGCUUGUUAACCCUUUACAGGUAAAGCAAGAAGAGAACAGACACCAAGAGGGAUUUUAUACCUAACUGGCUCACUGGGUGUCCAUCAAAGGAAGCUACUCUCCCCCCACCAUCCCCUUCAUGUAUCACACACUGUAAGGUCUGGCCUGAUCCAGAAAAGGAUAUUGCUUCUGUGGGGGAAAAUUUCCUCCUGAAAUUUUAACAGUUACAUCCAUCAUUUCACAUUCCCGCUUGUAUUUAGCAAAAGCAACAACAUGCUUAGUUACUAAUGCCUGCACAUUAGUUCUCCCUUUUGCAAUGUUUUCUAUGAUAUACAUUCCUGGUUUAGUUACAGUUGAAACAAUGUCACAAAUGCAAAUGACAGCAGGUUGAUUGUCUAAUGCCUGUACUGUUAAGCAUAGCAAGCGAUUGGUCAAAUCUAUAAGGCAUCCAUGUUUCCUCAGAAAAUAUACUUACAGUAAAUUGUAGGGUUCUUUCAAAUUUGCUAGUGCAAAUACAUGUUUUAUGUCCCCCCUUUUUAUGUCCCCUAUUUCUGUCACUACUGAUUUUGAUAACUCAGCUGUGAUCUGGUUACUUGCAAAUGUUGCUAACACUCUGGGUUGUCCUGAUGAUAAAGGGGAUGAUUUUGGAUUUUUAUCAUUGAUUAUGCUGAUUGAGGCUUCAAUGUCAAUAAUAAAAAAUGGCAGCCCCUCACCAUUGUUGAUACUGUGGUUUCCCAUUUACAUCUUUUUCUAAAGAAGCUACAAAUUUGCAUGGGGCCUUUUGGCGUCACCCAUUCUGUUUUCUUGGAUUUACAUUUUUUUCCGCUUGGUCGUUCUCGUACUCCAUGCAUGGAGUUGAAAUCCAGAAUGCCAGUUCAGUUGUUACGGCAAUGGGUUGAGGUGGGGUGUGUUGGUUGUUCAAUAUCCUGGAAUUUUUUGCAUUUCACACUUGUGAGAAUCUAGUGUUUUCCCUAUUUGACGGAGUUCUUUAAUAAUUAUGUCCAUUAUAGGACUAGGGGGUCGACGAGUCAGGAUUCUCAGGUGAGAGUGGUAACGAUUCAUGUCAGACAUGAAUUGUUUCCUGCUUGUGGUUGGUGAAGAUGGUAAGGAGCAUGUCCCUAUUCCUUUAUUCAUGUUUCUAGGGUCAUAGUAUCUGGGAUUUUGAAUUUGAGGACAUCGUGGUAUGCCCCCCCCCCUUGGGUAUGAUCUGAUUUUAAUAUUAUUAUCCAACCCUGUUGGACCAGGUGAUUGUCCUUAUGUCAUAGUUUGUAGGCCUUCUACUUUAAUUACUGGUUUACCUGAGGCUUCUUGAGCAACUGCUAUAGGAGGGUGAGUUCUUUUGGAACCCUUCUGUUGGGUUUGAAUAUAGGCUUUAGACAACAAAUCCAGCACUUCUGGAAGAGUGCUCCCGGGGUUGACAUGCAUUAUUACUUUACCCCGAACUGCUUCUAAAGAAUUGUUAACAAGCAAAUUAAUAUACUGUGGUUCUGUUUCCUUUCCAGGCAUUUCAUUAGAUAUCCAAGCUGAAGAAAAUUUAUUAUGAAAUUCAUGCAGUGACUCACCAUCACGUUGCUUCAUGUUAGCUACCAAAGUAACUCCUGGUCUGGAUGCAUAUUUCUUUCUAACAGUCGCACAGUGUUUUUGAAUGACUUUUUUUCCCCUUCUUGAAAUUUUGGUGGCAAUGUAUUCCAUAAGGCUCUGUCUACAGUUAACUGUAGAAUCUUAUCCAAAUUCUCUUAAUCUAACAGCAACAGUUUCACUACUGUUUCUAAAUGUGCUGUGGGGGCAGCCACUGGAUCUCCUUUUUUCAUCAGCGCUACCAUUUUUGCAAUGGCUUCUAAGGUUUUUACAUGUGUUACCAUGGCUGUUGGAGAGACAUGUUUACUGGAUUCUACUGGUUCCACAUUAGGAAUUGAUUGAUUCUUCUCCUUCAUGGUUAUAUUGGGGAGUCUAAGUUUCUUUUUCUCUAGAGGAAUUGGUAUCUCCCAACUUUGGGCAACUUUAACAGUAGAUAAUUUAGAUGUAGGGUUUUGCUGUAACCCUUUACAUUUUCUUUUGCCUUGGGUAGGUGCCUGUACCUUAGGAAGGUUUGGCACUGGCAUGGGUUUCUGUGGAGAUUCUGAUUUUGGCUCUAAAGUGGCAUGGGGUACAGUGGGCACAUCAGAUUCAAAAUGAAAUAUGCCACUUGUUCUUUUCAUUAUUCCUUCUGAUUCAGUUGACUUCAAGAUAUCAAAAAUACUUGCUGGAAUUUAAGGUUGCAAAGACUUUUGUCUUUCCUGAGAGGUACUGAUAUCUAAGAUUGCCUUCUUACAGGCCUUCACAGCAACUUUUAUAGUUCCCUGAGUUUCUUGUAACAAACAGCACAAUUGCAGAUGGGUUUGUUACAGGUCUGGCUUACUCAUUCUUUGUCCCUCUUUCUUCUCACUCUCACAACAGCUACUAAUUGCUCUUCGUUUCAUUUCUUGUCUUAAACCUGCAAUAUUUAAUUUCUUAUCAAAACUUCCAUCAAAACGUUUUACAACUUAUCUUUUCCUUGCUUCACUACUGACAGUUUCUUCAAAUCCCCCAUUCUCUCCCUCCGAAUCUUCUGUGUCUGAUACUUCCUCUAUUCUUAGCUCUCCACAUUGUUCAGUUUCCUGUUGUUCUUCCUGUCUGAGUUUAGCUCUCAAUCUGGUAAGUAGGGGUAAAAUUCUACCUCUACGUUGUUGUUCUUCCCCAGGUUCCACCACAGCUACUGGAAUAUCUGGAAUUAUAUUUACAACAUAUAGAGGUGGCAACUCCCAGGGGCAGCAGAGUCGCUGCUUCCCAGGAUAGAGUCCUCCAUCUUUGAAUGCCUAGAAGAGUACAUCUGGUCAUUUAAAAGGCCACAGAAACAUUUGCUUUAAAGUUUCCUUAGGUGGAGCUUGGUCCAAUCAUCGAUUUUUUGAGUAAGGUGACAAUUGGGAAUUCUGGUUAAAGGUUCAAGAUGGCAGAUUGCAGCUGUAUUAUGUGGGGAAUAUUUUGGCUCAUCGUCCUGGUGUUUUUUGGCUGGCCCUUAAGCAUUGCCUUGGGUGGCCUCUAUGGAUUCCUCUCCCCUCUCACUACCUUAAUAGGACUGGAUGACUUCAGUGAAGCACUGCUGAGGGGAGUAAAUUUGGGGAGACAGUGUGCUAAGAAUGUACAAAAUGGCAAGCCCCUUUGCUGAGCAAUAAAGACAGAAUUGCAACUGACAA